rnacentral:rRNA from 1 species
UACGAAGGGGGCUAGCGUUGUUCGGAAUUACUGGGCGUAAAGCGCACGUCGGCGGCUCUGUAAGUUGGGGGUGAAAUCCCGAGGCUCAACCUCGGAAUUGCCUUCAAGACUGCAGGGCUUGAGUUCGGGAGAGGUGAGUGGAAUUCCCACUGUAGAGGUGAAAUUCGUAGAGAUUGGGAAGAACACCAGUGGCGAAGGCGCCUCACUGGCCCGUAACUUACGCUGAGGUGCGAAAGCGUUGGGAGCAACCAGG